GCAACCAGCUUGGUCAAACAUGACUUUUCCUCGGUGAAUCCAUGUUGACUGCUCCUGAUAACCUUCUUUUCUUCUGCUUGCUUGUUGUUCCAUCACAUUCCCAGGGAUUGAGUUUUAGGAUCCUUCAAAUUCCACGCCACAAGAUGUCAGUACAGUUUAAGCAACAGCAGAGCACUCUCAGAAUGUGAAUUGCAGUGCAAAGAGGCAAAAAAGAAGAUAGAAAACAUCUACAGAUAAUAAAUGAAGAAGUAAUUUGUUUACAAGUCACUUUCCCGUUUUCUCUGCUGGAUACUUUGAAUGUCAGCAUGAUAGAAGAGGGAGAGAUUUGUGGCACAUCUUUGUAACUUGACCAAUGAUCUGCUGCACAAUCCAUUAUUGCUGGAGACAUUUGCAUGAAAGCAAGACAUCCUGCAGUUACUUUCACAGAUGAGGUGGCUGUGUUUUUGUGAAGGUUAUUUUUGGCUUGAAACAGGUUUGGUUAAAAAUUAUGUCAAGCAUGAGUUUUCCUUGGUGCAGUUGUAAUGACUUGUCCAGCAAACACUGCAGGUUUCCACCCACCCCAGAGCAUAUCCAGCAGAGAAGAAUUCAUACAGCCACAAGAUAAAUCAUAUUUCCCACAGAGCAGUCUCCAGGAAAAAACUCUUUCUUCAAAUCAUCAAUAGACAAAUAAAUUGCAGAUUUGUUCUGAAA